AAUUCCCAACCCGUCAAAACCUAAGCCCCCUCUUCACUCACUUCAUCUUUCUAACUCUCGCUCUCUCUGAUCCCAAACCCUCACUCUCUAUCUCAUCUAAAUCCUUUUUCCUCUUCGUUUUCAGACUUAACGCCUGUACUCCUCUCUCUUUCUCUCAUCUCAGCCUCCUUCUCUCAUGUAGGGCAUCAAAGAUCUGGCCAAAAUGACGCUGGUCAUGAAUGAGAGCUAUGCAGACCGAAGGCUUCCUCACCAUCGCAACCCCAAAGAGUUUGUUCCAUUGGACCAUUUGGCAGAUCUUGAGUGGUGUGAAGGAGAAUCUGGGUCAAAGUUUUCGAGCCCGGUCACUGAAUCUAAUAGCCAGGAUUCAUCACUCAUUGCUUUGAAGCUAGGGAGGUUGGCUGAUAGCAAAAAUGGGCAGAAUGGUCAACAUUCUAAAGAGAGGUCUACAAGAGCUGGCAUUAAGGGUUCAUACUCUCACACUCCCACGCGGCAAGUCCUUGUUUGUAACAUGGAUCUUAGCUCCUCAAAGGAUUACCACAAGAGGCAUAUAGUUUGUGAUACUCACUCCAAGACUCCUAAAGCGAUUGUUAAUGGCAUUGAAGUUAAUGUGACUCCGUCAGAGGAGAAAACAGUUGAUGAAGAACCAUUGGUGUUUGCCAAUAAGCAAGCAAAAAAUGCAUUUACAACACUUCUGGAAUCUGCAAAUGUUCACUCCGAUUGGACUUGGGAGCAGACAAUAGUGCGUUGAAAACUCUAGGUGAGAGGAAGCAAGCAUUUAAUGAGUAGUUGGGUCAAAGGAACAAACUGGAGAAUGAAGAGAGGCGCAUGAGGCAGAAAAAAGCUUAGGAAGAAUUUUCAAAAAUGUUUCAAGAGUCCAAGGAACUUACGUCAGCAACCAGAUGGAGAUGUUCUGACUGAUGUAUUGGCCUGAUCAGCAAAGCUCUCAGUAUGUUUGAAAAUGAUGAACGAUUCAAGGUUGUAGAAUGAGCGAGGGACCGGGAAGAUCUUUAUGAGAGCUACAUUGUAGAAUUGGAGAGGAAGGAAAAAGAAAAGUCGGCUGAAGAGCAUAAGCAGAAUAUUGCAUAGUAUAGAAAAUUCCUGGAAUCUUGUGACUUUAUCAAGGUGAACAGCCAGUGGCGGAAAGUUCAAGAUCGCUGAGAGGAUGAUGAGAGAUGCUUGCAUCUUGAAAAACUUGACAGGUUGCUCAUUUUCCAGGACUAUAUUUGCGACCUUGAGAAGGAAGAAGAGGAGCAAAAUAAGGAACAAUUGUGGCGGGUUGAGAGGAAAACCGCGAUGAGUUUCGAAAGCUGAUGGAAGAACAUGUUGCCGACGGUACUCUUACAGCUAAAACUCACUGGCUCGAUUACUGCAUGAAGGUUAAAGACCUGUCUUCGUAUGAAGCUGUUGCAUCUAAUACCUCUGGUUCAACACCAAAAGAAUUGUUUGAGGAUGUUGCUGAAGAAUUAGAGAAACAGGUGUGUAACCUAGCAUCUUAUACCAUCAUGUCUUGAUCCAUUAAUCAUCUGUAUUUUAGCUAAUGUUGAGAAUCGAAUUCGACAUUGUGAAUGUAAAUAUAAUGUGAUUUGUCAAUGCAAUUGGCAAACAGGUAGUGCCAUUUGCAUUCCAGUCGUGCAAUUGACAAAGAAAGUAGUCUCAUUUGCAAUCCAGUUGAGCAAUUGCCAUUAUAUGUGCUCAAUUAAUUGAAAA